rnacentral:rRNA from 1 species
UACGUAGGGUGCGAGCGUUGUCCGGAAUUAUUGGGCGUAAAGGGCUCGUAGGCGGUUUGUCGCGUCGGGAGUGAAAUCCACUGGCUUAACUGGUGGCUUGCUUCCGAUACGGGCAGACUUGAGGUAUUCAGGGGAGAACGGAAUUCCUGGUGUAGCGGUGAAAUGCGCAGAUAUCAGGGGGAACACCGGUGGCGAAGGCGGUUCUCUGGGAAUAUCCUGACGCUGAGGAGCGAAAGUGUGGGGAGCGAACAGG